rnacentral:tRNA from 1 species
AGGGGUAUAGCUCAGCGGUAGAACGCGUGCUUGGCAUCCACAAGCUCCUGGGUUCAAUCCCCAGUGUUUCUG